UCCCGGCAGCAGCGCGCACAGCGCGGCACACACGCACCCCGGAGCCGACCUCAAUUAAUCUGGUAGUGCAAUUAUCCGCCCCCCCCACACCCCCGAGAGGGGCUUUUGCAGCCCGGGAAGCCGGGAGGGGAUGAGGGGGGGGGGGGGGCGAGAGAGAGAGAGAGGGACACAUUCAUGAAGAAGGAGGGCGAAAGUGGCACUGCGCGACUUUGAUGCGACAGAUGUUGGACAAGUCUAGUUGGACGGUAGAAGGAGGAAGAGGAGGAGGAAGAGGAGGUGGGAGAGGAGGAGGAAAAGGAGGAAGAGGAGGGGGAAAGUUGUUUUUCCUGCCGGAGACCGAGGGUGCGCGUGGAGGAGGUGAAGCUCUGCGGCGAUGAGAGCAGCUCCACCACGUCGGGGGGGUAAGAUGUUGGCGGGCUCGGUGGUCCGAUGGGGAGUCUGGAGCCUCCUGAUCCAGUUCGGCCCGGGUGCGUCCGCCGCCGGUUGUCCUCUGCGCUGCGCCUGCCGACCGGAGGCCGGAGACGUCGUCUGCUCCGGCCGACACUUGAGCUCGGCGCCGGACGGCCUCUCCGGCGACGCCCGCCGUUUGGACUUAUCUCGCAACAAGAUCAAGACCGUCGGGCGGCGCCAGUUCUCCGGCCUCCCGCGACUCCAAGAGCUGGAUCUCAGCGAUAACGUGAUCUCCGUGAUCGAGGUGGAGGCCUUCCAGGGCCUGCAGAACCUCCGGACGCUCCGGAUUAAGAACAACCGGCUGAAGAUCAUUCCCGUCGGGGUGUUUUCUGGCCUUCCCGGUCUGCGGCUUCUGGAUCUGAGCCAGAACGAGAUUCUGGUGUUCCUGGACUACACCUUCAAAGAGCUGGCGAACCUGCAGACGCUGGAGGUGGAGGAGAACGACCUGGUCUUCAUCUCCCAGAGGGCGUUCGUCGGCCUGCAGAACCUGCAGGAGCUGAACCUGGACCGCAGCAACCUGACGUCGGUUCCCAGCGAGGCGCUGUCCCGCCUCCAGGGCCUGACGCGCCUCCGCCUGCUGCGCCUCGCCGUCUCCACGUUGCCCGGCAACGCCUUCCGGCGGCUCCACCGCCUGCGGAGCCUCCUGAUCGCCAACUGGCCGGCCUUGGACGCCGUGGCGAGCGACAGCCUGAUGGGCCUCAACCUGACGUCGCUCGCCAUCAACAGCUGCAACCUGAGCGCCGUCCCUUACUCGGCGCUCCGCCACCUGGCGUACCUGCGCUACCUGGACCUGUCCUACAACCCCAUCACCGCGAUCCAGGGCAAUCUGCUCGGGGACCUCCUGAGACUCCAGGAGUUACACCUAGCCGGGGGCAGCCUGCUCCGAAUAGAGCCGGGCGCCUUCAGGGGGCUGGCCCACUUCCGCACGCUGAACGUCACGUCCAAUCGGCUCGCCACUUUGGAGGAGAGCGUCUUCCACUCCGUGGGGAACCUUCAGGUGCUGCGCCUGGACGGGAACCCCUUGGCGUGCGACUGCCGGCUCCUGUGGGUCGUCCGUCGCCGGCUGCGCCUGAACUUCGACGGGAGUCAGCCCGCCUGCUCGUCGCCCGACGCCGCGCGGCGCCGCGAGUUCCGAGACUUCUCCGAGAAGGAGCUCCCCGGGCUGUUCGCGUGCCGGCCGGCCCGCGUCACGGACCGCCGGCCGCAGGAGGCGCGGGUGGAGGAGGGCGCCACGGUCGCGUUCUCCUGCAACGCCGACGGGGAUCCGCUCCCGUCCAUCACCUGGAUCUCGUCCCAGAGGAACGUCGUCGCUUCCACGGGACGCAUCCGAGCGUUGCCCGACGGCACUCUGGAGGUGCGCUUCGCCCAGGUGCAGGACAGCGGCACCUUCCGGUGCCUGGCGGGCAACGCCGCCGGCAACGACAGCCUCACCGUCGGCCUGCACGUCAAGGGCCUCGCCCGCAACCGGACCGCGCCCUUCUUCUGGGACGAGGGCUGGGUGGAGCCCUCGAGCUCCCAGGCCGCCAACUCCUCGGCUCAGAUGUCCAAGCCGUACCCGUUCGACGCCAAGACCCUGGUGAUCGCCACCACCAUGGGCUUCCUGUCCUUCCUCAGCUCGGUGGCCAUCUGCUUCGUCUUCAUGUUCUUCUGGAGCCAGAGCAAAGGGCAGAUCAAGCACACGGCGACCAUCGACUUUGUGCCGCGGUCUUCGAUGGGCGGCGGCGACGGAGCGGACGGCGGCAGGUUCACCAUGAAGCUCAUUUGAAGCCGAGGAAGAGGUGAACGUAGAGGGGGGGGCCUCUGUGUGGACCCCGAGGACAGGUACCCCUCCUCAAAGACCCCAACCAGAGCCAGUGUGUUGGGGCGUUCAGGCCCUCCUGGAAUAGAAAGACAUCGACGGGUUGAAGGCUUUUUCGUGCGUUUGCUUUUCAGCAAUUCUUUAUUUGAAUAAAGCAAAUCAACAUUCACUCAGCACAGAUCUAAGGGCUCGAUCGCACCAGGCGCGCCUCUCAAAAACGCGUUGCUAGCAAAACCUUCGAUUCCCUACGGUACGGCGCCUUUCAGACGCGCCUUUUAAACGCCGCGGUUUUCUUGCGUUUUUCAGGCGCGGUUAAAAGUUUAAAUAUUCCCAACUUUAAGCGCGAGGCGCGGAGGAACAACGCUCUCAAUGUCAAGGCAGCCAAUCGGAUCAAGCAGGAGGCCCAAGGCAGCCAAUCGGAUCAAGCUAGAGGCCCAAGGCAGCCAAUCGGAUCAAGCAGGAGGCCCAAGGCAGCCAAUCAGAUCAAGCAGGAGGCCCAAGGCAGCCAAUCAGAUCAAGCUAGAGGCCCAAGGCAGCCAAUCGGAUCAAGCAGGAGGCUUUCCUUCCUGUUUUCCCGAGGAGAACCUCAUAUUAGCGGUAUUUAAUGACGAAGAGCUUUAUAAUUCUAAAUCUAAACACGACUCCAGCUGACUCCCGCUCGGUCGGAAGUACAACUCAAAGCGCUCGCCAUCGAGACACAAUUCGCGGAAUAGAUGGCGGUGUUCGCCGAACUCUUUCCUUUCUUUAAAAAAAAUGUCUUGAACCCAAAAUCAACGGUUGGCCGCUCCUCCGGCGCACCGCUCUGUUUUUCCCGGCGCAUUUUUGCCGAGCCGUUUUUGGAGCGGCUGCGUUUUUAAAAGUCUCGUGUGGCGUGAUGGCGCCCUGACUGUGUGUGCAGCACGCAUAACACGGUUUUUGGGGAUCAACACACGACGAGAGCGAGACGGGUUUCUGGGUCACGCGUGUGAUGACGCUGUUGGUCUCGCACAGCAUCGAUGAGCCGAUCGGCGACGCUCCUCGACUUCACGGCGACGUGUCGGAGCUUCUCCAGCGUCUCUCGGCUCUCUGUGAACAGACCGUGCAUCCCAUAAUGUACACAGCAACGCGUCCGCCCACGCACUCACAACACGUCUGGAGUCCACACUGGACCGGGUGACUCUAUGAUUUCUCCUUUUUUUAUAUAUUCGAUGAAACUCUGUUUGUAUUUUUGUUUUCGUGCCUCGGUAACUUCCUCACUCCCCUGGCCGUGUUGCUCUCUCAAUGUCGGGUCAUCUGGCUGUGGGAUUAGCGUCUCCCUCACACUCCUGCACGCUCACAGCUUCAGAGAACGACGCUCACGCACACCGUGGUCAGACCACCACCCUCCACCUCAGCGCGCCACUGAUGCUACAGCAUGACGUCACUGCUGAGUGACGUCACCGUGCACCUGACUGGAGGCUUCAUCCUGAAGAGCACGAAGAGAGGAAGUUAGAAACAUCUCAAUAACUUUAUUGUUCCUGUCGUCUCGUCUCCUGUCGUGCGUUGACGUGUUUUAAUUAGUUAUAUUAUAUAUAAUACAUGUUUUAGUUUUAAUAAAUGAAUAUAAACUC